rnacentral:rRNA from 1 species
AACGUAGGACACAAGCGUUAUCCGGAAUUACUGGGCGUAAAGGGCGUGCAGGCGGUUGCGGAAGGUAGGCGUGAAAGACUUCGGCUAAACCGGGGGAGGUCGUCUGAUACUGCGUAACUAGAGUGUGGUAGAGGCGUGUAGAAUUCCGGGUGUAGUGGUGAAAUGCGUAGAGAUCCGGAGGAAUACCAGUGGCGAAGGCGGCACGCUGGGCCAUAACUGACGCUAAGGAGCGAAAGCCAGGGGAGCAAACGGG